CUGUUGGGAGGUAGCACGGAGGACUCCGCAGUCUGUGCUGGUUCGGGGCGGCUGGAACCCAGUACGAAACCCAAGCCGUGAAGCUUCGGCAGCCCUGUUGAGCCGCGGACCGCCCUCUGCUUCCCGGUGCCCGCGGCGGCGCCGAGUCUGACGGGGCGGGGGCCACGGCCCCUCGGGCUAGCAAGGAUGAGCUUCCUCUUUAGCAGCCGCUCUUCGAAAACAUUCAAACCAAAGAAGAAUAUUCCUGAAGGGUCCCAUCAGUAUGAACUCUUAAAACAUGCAGAGGCAACUCUCGGGAGUGGCAAUCUGAGGCAAGCUGUUAUGUUGCCGGAGGGAGAAGACCUCAAUGAGUGGA
rnacentral:lncRNA from 1 species